UCUCCUUCUCCUCCUCCUCCUCCCACCUCCCUCCACCUCCCAUCUCAGCUGCGGCUAAAACCUGGAGUCUUGGGGAAAAGGAGAAAAAAAAAAAAAAAAAAAAAAACUCGGCUGUGAAGCUGUCAAACCGGGCAUGCUCAGUA
rnacentral:sRNA from 10 species